rnacentral:rRNA from 1 species
UACGGAGGGUGCGAGCGUUAAUCGGAAUUAUUGGGCGUAAAGGGUUUGUAGGCGGACACGUAAGUUGUAUUUAAAAGACCAGGGCUUAACCUUGGUAGGUGAUACGAUACUGCGUGACUAGAGUGGAGUAGAGGGUAGUAGAAUUUCUGGUGUAGCAGUGAAAUGCGUAGAUAUCAGGAGGAAUACCGGUGGCGAAGGCGGCUACCUGGACUCACACUGACGCUGAGGAACGAAAGCAUGGGGAGCAAACAGG